GGGGGGGGGGGGGGGGGGGGUGGGCGGGGGGGGGUGGGGGGGCGGCGCGGGCUUCGGCCUGGCGGCGGGUGGGGGAGUUGUGAGGAAUGCCUCGGAACGUGCCCAGUAGUGUGGGAUUGCCCGGCGAACUGCGGAUUAAUACCGCCUCCGACCUUCACAUUAACGCUGGGGACCGCAAAGCCUCGCGCUCUUUGAGCGUCCGGUGUCUGAUUAGCUCGUUGUUGGGGUAAAGGCUUCCCAAGACCACGAUCCGUGGCUGGUCGGAGAGGACGAACAGCCACACGGGGACUGAGACACGGCCCAGACUCCUACGGGAGGCAGCAGUGGGGAAUUUUGGACAAUGGGGGCAACCCUGAUCCAGCCAUGCCGCGUGCGGGAAGAAGGCCUUCGGGUUGUAAACCGCUUUUGUUCGGGAAGAAAUCCUCUGGGCUAAUACCCCGGGGGGAUGACGGUACCGGAAGAAUAAGCACCGGCUAACUACGUG
rnacentral:rRNA from 1 species